rnacentral:rRNA from 1 species
GAUGAACGCUGGCGGCGUGCUUAACACAUGCAAGUCGAACGGACUCAUAUUGAAACCUAGUGAUGUAUGAGUUAGUGGCGGACGGGUGAGUAACGCGUGGAGAACCUGCCGUAUACUGGGGGAUAACACUUAGAAAUAGGUGCUAAUACCGCAUAAGCGCACAACUUCGCAUGAAGCAGUGUGAAAAACUCUGGUGGUAUACGAUGGAUCCGCGUCUGAUUAGCUAGUUGGCGGGGUAAAGGCCCACCAAGGCGACGAUCAGUAGCCGGCCUGAGAGGGUGAACGGCCACAUUGGGACUGAGACACGGCCCAA